CACGUUAUAGCUUAUUAUAAAAGCAUUAAAUUUUUAAUUUAAGGAUAAGAACAUUCUUUUACGUGA
rnacentral:tRNA from 1 species